GAUGAACGCUGGCGGCGUGCCUAAUACAUGCAAGUCGAGCGAACAGACGAGGAGCUUGCUCCUCUGACGUUAGCGGCGGACGGGUGAGUAACACGUGGAUAACCUACCUAUCAGACUGGGAUAACUUCGGGAAACCGGAGCUAAUACCGGAUAAUCUAUUGAACCGCAUGGUUCAAUAGUGAAAGACGGUUUUGCUGUCACUUAUAGAUGGAUCCGCGCCGCAUUAGCUAGUUGGUAAGGUAACGGCUUACCAAGGCAACGAUGCGUAGCCGACCUGAGAGGGUGAUCGGCCACACUGGAACUGAGACACGGUCCAGACUCCUACGGGAGGCAGCAGUAGGGAAUCUUCCGCAAUGGGCGAAAGCUUGACGGAGCAACGCCGCGUGAGUGAUGAAGGUCUUCGGAUCGUAAAACUCUGUUAUUAGGGAAGAACAAAUGUGUAAGUAACUAUGCACGUCUUGACGGUACCUAAUCAGAAAGCCACGGCUAACUACGUG
rnacentral:rRNA from 1 species